rnacentral:lncRNA from 1 species
GUGAUUACAUAAUUUAUCAUCCAAGCUGGUACACAUUUGAAUGUGAAAGAGACACUAGUAAUAAUCAUGUCAGUAAACUAGGGAAAAGGGAGAGCUUUGCCAGGCAAACUGUGAUAAAGGGUUCCCGUAGGUAAAAUAAAUUUUAUCUAUCAAGAACCAUAAAGAUAAUCUAAAAAGAAGUUCGUUCUUUUGUUUUAAGCUUUUAAGGGAAUUUAGUUAGUUAUCAAGUGUUCUGAACUAAGUUAAAGAAAGAAAUCACCACAUAAUUUGGAAAGAAACCACCUAUAGACAUUAUACAAAGCAUUUUCCUUUCUUUUGAUAUUUUCUAAAGGUCAAAAGUUUGGAAUCCUACAAUUAUUUUGCAUUUGAAAAUGAUGAAUCAAAAAAGAAAUCAGAAUCCACCAAAAUAAUGGAAUGUCUUUCUCAAGGACCCUGGAGCCAUCCAUUCCUUUGAAAUGUCCUCGUUAAGAAAGACAGGAACCCCUUCUCCUCCGUUCUAUGCGAGUAUAGGAACUUUGCAUUGGCUAGCAAUAAGUGGUACAAUACUCUCUCAAGAUGCUUUGCAGUAGCAGCGAGCCACAGCUCCUAGUCAGCCAGAUCAUCAGAAGAGGAAACACUGAAUACUUGGCAUCUUCCUAAAGAACACUAUGCCUGCUAAACCAUAGGCAAGUGUCACAUUCCUCAGCACCGUCUACUUGCUAUUCUCAACCCUCAUCAGAAGAGAGAGAAACUGGGUACUCAUUCUCUGUUGCAACCCCAUCAUCCAGCAAUUAACUUUAGUUCAAGUCUUCAAGCAUUCGUCAGACCUACGGUGCUUUCUGCUAUGUGUGUUAAUGGCACACAAGAGAUGACAUUAAUAGAUGAAAGUGAGGCUACUCUUGCCACAUUAUCAGAAAUUUUGAACAGCACUGACUUACAAUGGGGAAGUGCUGUGACAUCACCAGGUAAUACACAGACUUGCUUCCAUUCCCUUCUACACAUCUCACCUCCCAUUUCUCUAAAUUUCAUACAUCAAAAAUUAUCUGGUGGAGUUUUGCUCUUGUUUCCCAGGCUGGAGUGCAAUGGUGCAAUCUCAGCUCACGGUAACCUCCGCCUCCUGGAUUCAAGUGAUUCUCCUGCCUCAGCCUCCUGAGUAGCUGGAAUUACAGACAUGUGCCAUCACGCCCACCUAAUUUUGUGUUUUUUGUAGAGACAGGGUUUCUCCAUGUUGGUCAGGCUGGUCUCAAACUGCCGACCUCAGACGAUCCACUUGCCUUGGCCUCCCAAAGCACUCGGAUUAUAGGCAUGAGUCACCGCGCCCAUCCCACACUGAAUUUCAAUGAGUAAGGCUUUAUGUAUAACACAGUUUUGCUUUUCAAAAGUAAACAAACAAUUUGAUAGCUUUUCUUUUUUUUUAAUUUCAUUAGUUGAAAUAAUAGGUUGAAUUUGGUUUUCUGAGUCUUCUACUUGUAUUAUAACUAAAAUAAUGCAAAUUCUCAUUGAUAAAAAGGAUACAAUUUUUUUUAAUCUCUCAAAAAUUUUGUGUUUGGAUUUUUGUUGGCAUAUAGAGGGCAUAUAUAUUUAUGGAGUACAUGAGGUGUUUUGAUACAGGCAUGCAAUGCUUAUUAAUUACAUAAUGGAAAAUGGGAUAUCCAUCCCUUCAAGCAUUUAUCCUUUGUGUUAACAAAAAUACUAUAAUUGGAUUGUUUGUAUUUUAAAAUGUAUAAUUAAAUUAUUACUGACUACAGUCACUCUGUUGUGCUAUAAAAUACUAGGCAUUAUUGUUUUUAACUAUGUUUUGUACUCAAUAACCACUCUUACACCUCUCUCUCCCCACACUGCCCUGUUUCCCUUCCCAGCCUCUGGUUACCAUCUUUCUACUCUCUAACUCCAUGAAUUCAGUUGUUUUGAUUUUUAGAUUCCACAAAUAAAUAAGAACAUGCA